rnacentral:rRNA from 1 species
GACGUAGGGCGCGAGCGUUGUCCGGAUUUAUUGGGCGUAAAGAGCUCGUAGGCGGCUUGUCGCGUCGGCCGUGAAAACUUGGGGCUCAACCCCAAGCCUGCGGUCGAUACGGGCAGGCUAGAGUUCGGUAGGGGAGACUGGAAUUCCUGGUGUAGCGGUGAAAUGCGCAGAUAUCAGGAGGAACACCGAUGGCGAAGGCAGGUCUCUGGGCCGAUACUGACGCUGAGGAGCGAAAGCGUGGGGAGCGAACAGG